CCUACGGGAGGCAGCAGUGAGGAAUAUUGGUCAAUGGACGAGAGUCUGAACCAGCCAAGUAGCGUGAAGGAUGACUGCCCUAUGGGUUGUAAACUUCUUUUAUAAAGGAAUAAAACGAGGCACGUGUGCCUUUUUGCAUGUACUUUAUGAAUAAGGAUCGGCUAACUCCGUGCCAGCAGCCGCGGUAAUACGGAGGAUCCGAGCGUUAUCCGGAUUUAUUGGGUUUAAAGGGAGCGUAGAUGGGUUGAUAAGUCAGUGGUGAAAGUUUGCGGCUCAACCGUAAAAUUGCAAUUGAUACUGGAAGUCUUGAGUACAGUUGAGGUAGGCGGAAUGCGUGGUGUAGCGGUGAAAUGCUUAGAUAUCACGAAGAACCCCGAUUGCGAAGGCAGCUUACUAAACUGUGACUGACAUUGAUGCUCGAAAGUGUGGGUAUCAAACAGGAUUAGAUACCCGAGUAGUC
rnacentral:rRNA from 1 species